rnacentral:rRNA from 1 species
GUGAGGAAUUUUGCGCAAUGGGGGCAACCCUGACGCAGCGACGCCGCGUGGAGGACGAAGUCUUUCGGGAUGUAAACUCCUGUCAGUGGGGACGAUAAUGACGGUACCCACAGAGGAAGCACCGGCUAACUCCGUGCCAGCAGCCGCGGUAAGACGGAGGGUGCAAGCGUUGUUCGGAAUUACUGGGCGUAAAGCGUAUGUAGGCGGCAAGUUAAGCUCAAUGUUAAAGCCCACGGCUCAACCGAGGAGAUGCAUUGAAUACUGGCUAGCUAGAGGGUGUUAGAGGAAGACGGAAUUCCCAGUGUAGCGGUGAAAUGCGUAGAUAUUGGGAGGAACAUCGGUAGCGAAAGCGGUCUUCUGGGACAUACCUGACGCUGAGGUACGAAAGCGUGGGGAGCAAACGGGAUUAGAAACCCUUGUAGUCC